GACGAACGCUGGCGGCGUGCUUAACACAUGCAAGUCGAACGGAAAGGCCCUGCUUUUGUGGGGUGCUCGAGUGGCGAACGGGUGUGUAACACGUGAGUAACCUGCCCUUGACUUUGGGAUAACUUCAGGAAACUGGGGCUAAUACCGGAUAGGAGCUCCUGCUGCAUGGUGGGGGUUGGAAAGUUUCGGCGGUUGGGGAUGGCCUCGCGGCUUAUCAGCUUGUUGGUGGGGUAGUGGCUUACCAAGGCUUUGACGGGCAGCCGGCCUGAGGGGGGGACCGGCCACAUUGGGACUGAAAUACGCCCCAGACUCCUACGGGAGGCAGCAGUGGGGAAUAUUGCACAAUGGGCGGAAGCCUGAUGCAGCAACGCCGCGUGCGGGAUGACGGCCUUCGGGUUGUAAACCGCUUUCGCCUGUGACGAAGCGUGAGUGACGGUAAUGGGUAAAGAAGCACCGGCUAACUACGUG
rnacentral:rRNA from 1 species